AAUAGAUACCCUGGUAGUCCUAGCCUUAAACGAUGAAUGCUUGGUGUCUGGGGUUUUAUAGUCCCCGGGUGCCGUCGCUAACGCUUUAAGCAUUCCGCCUGGGGAGUACGGUCGCAAGACUGAAACUCAAAGGAAUUGACGGGGACCCGCACAAGCGGUGGAGCAUGUGGUUUAAUUCGACGCAACGCGAAGAACCUUACCUGGGCUAGAAUGCCUCUGACCGGCGUAGAGAUACGCUUUCCUGGGUAAAACCAGGCAGAGUGCAAGGUGCUGCAUGGCUGUCGUCAGCUCGUGCCGUGAGAUGUUGGGUUAAGUCCCGCAACGAGCGCAACCCUUAUCAAUAGUUGCCAGCGGUUCGGCCGGGGCACUCUAUUGAGACUGCCGUUGACAAAACGGAGGAAGGUGGGGAUGACGUCAAGUCCUCAUGGCCUUUAUGUCCAGGGCUACACACGUGCUACAAUGGCGAGUACAAAGCGCUGCAAACCUGCAAAGGGGAGCCAAUCGCAAAAAGCUCGUCUCAGUUCGGAUUGG
rnacentral:rRNA from 1 species